GCCGGGCAUGGUGGCACGUGCCUGUAAUCCCAGCUACUCUUCAGGGGGCUGAGGCAGGAGGAUCACUUGAACCUGGGAGUUGGAGGUUGCAGUGAGCCAAGAUGGCGCCACUGCACUCCAGCCUGGGUGACAGAGUGAGACUCUGUCUCAA
rnacentral:SRP_RNA from 2 species